rnacentral:rRNA from 1 species
ACCGGGAGAUAGCUGGUUCUCCCCGAAAGCUAUUUAGGUAGCGCCUCGUGAAUUCAUCUCCGGGGGUAGAGCACUGUUUCGGCUAGGGGGCCAUCCCGGCUUACCAACCCGAUGCAAACUGCGAAUACCGGAGAAUGUUAUCACGGGAGACACACGGCGGGUGCUAACGUCCGUCGUGAAGAGGGAAACAACCCAGACCGCCAGCUAAGGUCCCAAAGUCAUGGUUAAGUGGGAAACGAUGUGGGAAGGCCCAGACAGCCAGGAUGUUGGCUUAGAAGCAGCCAUCAUUUAAAGAAAGCGUAAUAGCUCACUGGUCGAGUCGGCCUGCGCGGAAGAUGUAACGGGGCUAAACCAUGCACCGAAGCUGCGGCAGCGACGCUGAUGCGUUGUUGGGUAGGGGAGCGUUCUGUAAGCCUGUGAAGGUGGCCUGUGAGGGUUGCUGGAGGUAUCAGAAGUGCGAAUGCUGACAUAAGUAACGAUAAAGCGGGUGAAAAGCCCGCUCGCCGGAAGACCAAGGGUUCCUGUCCAACGUUAAUCGGGGCAGGGUGAGUCGACCCCUAAGGCGAGGCCGAAAGGCGUAGUCGAUGGGAAACGGGUUAAUAUUCCCGUACUUGGUGUUACUGCGAAGGGGGGACGGAGAAGGCUAUGUUGGCCGGGCGACGGUUGUCCCGGUUUAAGCGUGUAGGUGUGUGUUCCAGGUAAAUCCGGUUCACUUUAACACUGAGGCGUGAUGACGAGGCACUACGGUGCUGAAGCAACAAAUGCCCUGCUUCCAGGAAAAGCCUCUAAGCAUCAGGUAACAUCAAAUCGUACCCCAAACCGACACAGGUGGUCAGGUAGAGAAUACCAAGGCGCUUGAGAGAACUCGGGUGAAGGAACUAGGCAAAAUGGUGCCGUAACUUCGGGAGAAGGCACGCUGACACGUAGGUGAAGUGAUUUACUCA